CGUCCUCUGCUGUGCGCGACGGCCUGCCAAACAUUCGCCUUGUCCCUUAAUAACGACACCGGGGACGCAACCGGAAUCCGGAGUGCAAGUCCGCCUCGUAGCGGGAAGCCCGAAGAUCCCCAAGCGUCCCCACUUGAACCCAGGGUUCAAGGUCGUUUCGCAAGCAUCGUCAUUGGCGGAGGACUA
rnacentral:other from 2 species